rnacentral:sRNA from 2 species
UAUUCUGCCCUACGGGGAAGGAUGAGAAGCUUCGACUAAGGUUCGACUCGAGCGUAGCGAGAGAACGUUGCCGCAGGCAACGGCCCGAAGGGCGAGGCGCUUUAGCGCCGAGUAAUCCUUCCCCCACCACCA